rnacentral:rRNA from 1 species
AAACUGCGAAUGGCUCAUUAAAUCAGUUAUAGUUUAUUUGAUGAUACCUUGCUACAUGGAUAACUGUGGUAAUUCUAGAGCUAAUACAUGCAUUAAAGCCCUGACUUCUGGAAGGGGUGUAUUUAUUAGAUAAAAAACCAACGCGGCUCGCCGCUCCCUUGGUGAUUCAUAAUAACUUCUCGAAUCGUAUAGCCUUGUGCUGACGAUGCUUCAUUCAAAUAUCUGCCCUAUCAACUUUCGAUGGUAGGAUAGUGGCCUACCAUGGUUUCAACGGGUAACGGGGAAUAAGGGUUCGAUUCCGGAGAGGGAGCCUGAGAAACGGCUACCACAUCCAAGGAAGGCAGCAGGCGCGCAAAUUACCCAAUCCCGACACGGGGAGGUAGUGACAAUAAAUAACAAUAUAGGGCUCUUUCGGGUCUUAUAAUUGGAAUGAGUACAAUUUAAAUGCCUUAACGAGGAACAAUUGGAGGGCAAGUCUGGUGCCAGCAGCCA